AUCCAGAUGAAAAGUCCCAAAUAGGACUAAACGCAAGCCCUGGAU
rnacentral:hammerhead_ribozyme from 1 species